rnacentral:rRNA from 1 species
AUGGAGGAGCAUAGUUCUGUCAGUGAGCAUAUACUCAGAAUGUCUGGGUAUAACAAUCACUUGAUUCAACUGGGAGUUAAUCUUCUGGAUGAUAGCAUCAUUGACAGAAUUCUUCAAUCACUGCCACCAAGCUACAAGAGCUUCGUGAUGAACUAUAACAUGCAAGGGAUGGAUAAGACAAUUCACGAGCUCUUCGCAGUGCUAAAGGUUGCGGAGGUAGAAAUCAAAAGGGAGCAUCAAGUUUUGAUGGUCAAUAAGACCACCAGUUUCAAGAAAAAGGCAAAGGGAAGAAGAAGGGGAACUUCAAGAAAAACAACAAACAAGUUGCUGCUCAAGAGAAGAAACCCAAGUCUGGACCUAAGCCUGAGACUGAGUGCUUCUACUGCAAGCAGACUAGUCACUGGAAGCAGAACUGCCCCAAGUAUUUGGCGGAUAAGAAGGAUGGCAAGGUGA